rnacentral:rRNA from 1 species
GCACAAGCGGUGGAGCAUGUGGUUUAAUUCGAUGCAACGCGAAAAACCUUACCUACCCUUGACAUGUCUGGAAUCCCGCAGAGAUGUGGGAGUGCCCGAAAGGGAGCCAGAACACAGGUGCUGCAUGGCUGUCGUCAGCUCGUGUCGUGAGAUGUUGGGUUAAGUCCCGCAACGAGCGCAACCCUUGUCAUUAGUUGCUACGAAAGGGCACUCUAAUGAGACUGCCGGUGACAAACCGGAGGAAGGUGGGGAUGACGUCAAGUCCUCAUGGCCCUUAUGGGUAGGGCUACACACGUCAUACAAUGGCUGGUACAGAGGGUUGCCAACCCGCGAGGGGGAGCUAAUCCCAUAAAACCAGUCGUAGUCCGGAUCGUAGUCUGCAACUCGACUGCGUGAAGUCGGAAUCGCUAGUAAUCGCGGAUCAGCAUGUCGCGGUGAAUACGUUCCCGGGC